GUGCUUGCUUCGGCAGCACAUAUACUAAAAUUGGAAUGAUACAGAAAAGAUUAGCGUGGCCCCUGGGCAAGGAUGACAUGCAAAUUCGUGAAGCGUUAAUAUUUUUG
rnacentral:snRNA from 1 species